CCUACGGGUGGCAGCAGUGAGGAAUAUUGGUCACUGUGCGUAAGCCUGAACCAGCCAAGUCGCGUGAGGGAUGACGGUUCUAUGGAUCGUAAACCUCUUUUAUAAGGGAAUAAAGUGUGGGACGUGUCCUAUUUUGUAUGUACCUUAUGAAUAAGGAUCGGCUAACUCCGUGCCAGCAGCCGCGGUAAUACGGAGGAUCCGAGCUUUAUCCGGAUUUAUUGGGUUUAAAGGGUGCGUAGGCGGCCUUUUAAGUCAGCGGGGAAAGUCUGUGGCUCAACCAUGGAAUUGCCGUUGAAACUGGGGGGCUUGAGUAUGUGUGAGGCAUGCGGAAUGCGUGGUGUAGCGGUGAAAUGCUUAGAUAUCACGCAGAACCCCGAUUGAGAAGGAAGUCUGCCAAGCCAUGACUGACGCUGAUGCACGAAAGCGUGGGGAUCGAACAGGAUUAGAUACCCGUGUAGUC
rnacentral:rRNA from 1 species